UUCUUCACCUAAUCUAUACUUGCACCUUUGUUUUUUUCUGCCCAGAUGUAAAACUUUGCUUUUCUCUUCAUUAAAUUUCAUUUUGUUGGAUGGAGCCCAUUACUCAAGUCUGUCAAGAUCUUUUUGGAUCCUGAGCUUGUCUUCUGGGGUGUUGGCUGUUGCUGCCAGCUUAGUGUCAUCCUCAGUAUUUCCAGACAAAGGGAAGGCCAAAAAACCCUCUUCUGGACAGCAGAGAAUCAGCAGCAGGUUUAAAAAGGGAAGCGAAUCCGGUACAUCUGGGAAACAACGUCUUUUCCCUUUUCUCCAGAUAACCACAAAAGUCUUCCCCUUCCCCAGCCAGGAAGAGACAGGAACAAAAAAAUAGGAGAAGAGUUUUGAGCUGAUAAACCAGUAUUUUAUGUGUAACUCAAGGAAACAUGAUAUAAAAAAAUAAAAGUGGAACAUUUCCAGAUUCAGAUAAGAAGGAAAUAUCUAGAAGUCUGUGUUACGGAAAUAAACGGCUUGAACCACCC
rnacentral:lncRNA from 1 species